UGGGGAAUUUUGGACAAUGGGCGAAAGCCUGAUCCAGCAAUGCCGCGUGUGUGAAGAAGGCCUUCGGGUUGUAAAGCACUUUUGUCCGGAAAGAAAUCCUUGGCUCUAAUACAGUCGGGGGAUGACGGUACCGGAAGAAUAAGCACCGGCUAACUACGUGCCAGCAGCCGCGGUAAUACGUAGGGUGCAAGCGUUAAUCGGAAUUACUGGGCGUAAAGCGUGCGCAGGCGGUUUGCUAAGACCGAUGUGAAAUCCCCGGGCUCAACCUGGGAACUGCAUUGGUGACUGGCAGGCUAGAGUAUGGCAGAGGGGGGUAGAAUUCCACGUGUAGCAGUGAAAUGCGUAGAGAUGUGGAGGAAUACCGAUGGCGAAGGCAGCCCCCUGGGCCAAAUACUGACGCUCAUGCACGAAAGCGUGGGGAGCAAACAGGAUUAGAUACCCUGGUAGUCCACGCCCUAAACGAUGUCAACUAGUUGUUGGGGAUUCAUUUCCUUAGUAACGUAGCUAACGCGUGAAGUUGACCGCCUGGGGAGUACGGUCGCAAAGAUUAAAACUCAAAGGAAUUGACGGGGUCAUAGCUGUUUCCU
rnacentral:rRNA from 1 species